GAUGAACGCUAGCGGCAGGCCUAAUACAUGCAAGUCGAACGAUUUCUUCGGACAUAGUGACGCACGGGUGCGUAACAAGUGUUCAACAUACCGUACAGUAGGGGAUAGCCGUUCGAAUGGGAGGUUAAUACCGCAUAACACAUUAGCUGGGCAUCCAGCAGCUGUUAAAGAUUUAUCGAUGUAUGCUGAGCAUGAGUCCAAUUAGCUAGUUGGUAAGGUAACGGCUCACCAAGGCAAUGAUUGGUAGGGGAACUGAGAGGUCAAUCCCCCACACUGGCACUGAGAUACGGGCCAGACUCCUACGGGAGGCAGCAGUAGGGAAUAUUGGGCAAUGGACGCAAGUCUGACCCAGCCAUGCCGCGUGCAGGAUGAAGGCGUUAUGCGUUGUAAACUGCUUUUAUACAGGAAGAAACGACUCUUGCGAGAGGCAGUGACGGUACUGUAUGAAUAAGCACCGGCUAACUCCGUGCCAGCCGCCGCCGUAAAAC
rnacentral:rRNA from 1 species